CCUCCGUGGUUGAUGCGUUGUGGAUUGAGAACAGCAUGGUCAAGAAGAUCGUAGAUCUGAUGCACUUCUUCCCCACGGUCGGCGCCAAUGACGAGGA